AUUGAACGCUGGCGGCAGGCCUAACACAUGCCAGUCGAGCGAGCGGCGGAAGGGUGAGUAAUGUCUGGGAAACUGACUGAUGGAGGGGGAUAACUAAUGGAAACGGUAGCUAAUACCGCAUACCAUCAGAUGUGCCCAGAUGGGAUUAGCUAGUAGGUGGGGGAACGGCUCACCUAGGCGACGAUCCAUGGCUGGUCUGAGAGGAUGACCAGCCCCACUGGACCUGAGCCACGGUCCAGACUCCUACGGGAGGCAGCAGUGGGGAAUAUUGCACAAUGGGCGCAAGCCCGAUGCAGCCAUGCCGCUUUUGUGAAGAAGGCCUUCGGGUUGUAAAGCACUUUCAGCGGGGAGGCGUUACCCGCAGAAGAAGCACCGGCUAACUCCGUGCCAGCAGCCGCGGUAAUUC
rnacentral:rRNA from 1 species